CAUUACUGCGGUAAAGGAGGCAAGCGUGACACCCAGAAGGGUUGUCCUUAAUCAGGAUCAUCCUCUGCUCCUUCCGUUUUAACUUGCCUUCGGGCGGAUCCAAAAGGAGAACAUCAUCCAUUGAGAAUGCAGGAGCAUCUGGAGUUGGUAGAUUGGUGUCUUCCAGGGGAGACUGUAUGUCAAGGGACUAUCGCAACCAACUAGAGACCUACCAUGGGACUCAUGGACGCCAGGUAUUCCCCCGAAAUAACUUAUCCGCAUGGAACACCUGGAGUUCGCUGGUGUAUGGGAAGGGACUGCGAUCCCUUUAUUACCCCUAUCUCCACGAUGCUGGAUCUUUAUCAUACCUUUUCACUACAGGCCGAUCGGAACGUUCCAUUAACGGGCUACGUUCCGCGAUUUCGACGAC